AUGGAGGAUGCGGUCACUUCUAAUCCAGCUCCCAACAUUAUUGACCUCCCUGAUGAUGAUGAAGAGCCCGAGAGGUCUUUGACGAGGAAGAGUAGGCGAGCUCCUGUAAGUGAGGCGCUACAGUCGACGCCGAGGGCGGAACCAGUCGUUCAGGACACUGGUGACGUCAAUCGGGGUUCUGUUACCUUCGCGGAGCCCCUGUCGAGUGCCUUGCCUUCUUCUUCGACUGCUCAGGCCCCUGUCGACCCGCCUUUAGUUUUUGCGACCCAUCAUGUCCCAGAGGACGAGGUGAAUGCUGCUAGGGAAGCCAUACGCCAGGCGGGCAUUAUGAUGGAGAAGAUGAAGAUGGUGUGGGACGCCAGCCAAGCCGCCUAUGAUGCCAGCUCGGCUCUCCAGAGCAACGUUCAGAAAUCUUGCGAUCUUGGAGCUCGCUUUGCUGACUUGGAGAAGCAGCAGAUUCAACUGAACCUUGAUCUGGAGCUGGCCAGGACAGAGCUGCAAAAGGUCAGAGACGACGCCGCAGAAAAACUGAGAGAAGCUUUGGCGAAGAAGGAUCAGGACUUGGUUGCUGCCCGUAAGGAGGCUGACGACAAGACCGCUCUGGCCGAACAGAAGCUGGCUUCGGUCGGCCAGUUAGAAGAAGAGAAUACCAGGCUGAAGACCGCUCUGAAUGAAGCCAACAGGGAGUGUACACGUUGGAAGAAGGAUAACCUCAACCUGAACGAAAAGAUGGAAGGCAUCGCUCGCAGGAGGGACGAUCUGGAGAGCUACUUGAGGAGCCUCGCCAAGAAGUUGUACAUCAAGCUCGAAGAGUUUUGCCAGAACUUUGAACAGGAGACUGGGCGGAUUGAACCAGGUUUGGAUCCAAUCAACUCUCCCGUGAAAGAUGAAACUGCCAUGAAUCUGCUCCGACUGGAAUCUCGCAUCGACGGUGCCGUGGACUACUUGGGUCGACUGAAGGUCGCCAUGUCAUGGAUCGACCCGGCACUUUGGCCAGAGGCUACGCUCCAAAACGAUCUCGAGUCUCUGAUGACUCGACUUAACGGAAUCCCUGACCAAGUGAAGAAGUCUUCUGCUCGGUGUGGCGCUGAUGUGGCUCUGUCCUUGGUUCGUGUCCACUGCAAGGAGGUGCGACAAGACAAGCUGGCAGCAAUCAAGGUCGCCAACACCCAGAAGCAUGACUUCCGAACCUUUAUGGAGACUUUCAUCGCUGCAGCCACUCCGAUAGCCGACGGCGUCGACCUGGAUGAGUUCGUCGAGCCUGCCAGCCCUCCUCCCGCAGAGUGA
rnacentral:rRNA from 1 species